rnacentral:rRNA from 1 species
UGCCAGCCUCCGCUGUACUACUGAUUGUGCAAUCGUUGUUCGGAAUUACUGGGCGUAAAGCGCGUGUAGGCGGCUUGGACAGUCGGAUGUGAAAGCCCGAGGCUCAACCUCGGAACUGCAUUCGAAACUUCCAGGCUAGAGUCCUGGAGAGGAUGGUGGAAUUCCCAGUGUAGAGGUGAAAUUCGUAGAUAUUGGGAGGAACACCGGUGGCGAAGGCGGCCAUCUGGACAGGGACUGACGCUGAGACGAGAAAGCGGGGGGAGCACACAGGAUUCGAUA